GGGAAGCUGUGGUUGAGAGAGCGUGGUAUGGUAUCCAGCUGCUAGUAUAGGUAGAUGGUGUCAAAAAGUUUCUGCCCUCCGUUGGCAUCACCUGGACACCGCUCCCUCUCUAGCCGUUGGAGUGGCCGGCAUAGCCCACACAUCAUGUUGUAUACAGUUUUGUUUUCUUUUGUCGGAAGCAUUUUUAGUAGUCUAUACUACUAUUAAACAAGCAAACAUUUUCUUCUCUAAACACCCCCAGCUAAUGUACACACAACAAAUCAAAGCAAUUAUAGCCUCACGAUCAGACUCACUUAUUUAGAUCUAACUGUUAACAUAACAACUAACCUCGUCAACAGUACGUUUAGCAAUUUUGAGGUGCGGACGAAAACUCUGCCAUGAGCGAGCGGACGUUAAAAAAAAGGCUCGCUGGGCAACCACGUAAUCCCACCCUCAAUUAACGCUAACUUCCUAUCUAAUCUCACCCGAGCGAGCGGGACGGGGGGCAUGCCCGGCGGGUAGUCCGCCUCAGAAGUCCACGCCACAGGGAGCGCAGGAUAACCACAGUCGCCGUUGCCAUGGCUGGCAAGAGCAUCGAGGCUGCUUCCUCUCCGUUCAGGACGCUGGUCUGGCGUCGGGCCGGAACAAGGUGUCGUUCUUUCUGUGCCGCGCGCCGUCCGUUCUUGGCGCGAGAGGGCUACGCCGCCGUCGCAGUUGGCCGUGUUGACGGAGACAACGAGGGCGCCGCCAAGUCCAUGCGCCGCCUCGGCCCCAGUAGCUUGGAGUCUAAAGGGAUCGUGCCGUUCCAUGGUGCAGACCCUGCGCCGUCGUCCUUGGCCGCGCGGGGCUGCAGAUCGCACCGACGGCCAGAGGCGACCACCCGUGCGGCUGCGUUCAAAGGCGCUGUGCACAGGGAGAUGGCCAGCCUCCCAGAGAGGAAGACACCGAUCAGAAUCGACAUGAUUUUCUUACCAUGGUGUAAUCUUGAGCACGCAAAGGCGCUGUGCACAGGAGAUGGCUGGCCUCCCGGAGAGGAUGACACUGGUACUGAACUACUUGCCAUUAGCUGUUGGUGAUGUGGAUUCAAACAGUCCACAAUUAUUUUGCUGAGUUUGGAUAAAAUUGAUUAGUGGCAAUAUUUUACUCUCAGAAAAUAAAUGUUUAUUAUUGGAUAAUGUACUUAGAAUUAUUUGCAACACGCCAAUGCGGGCGAAUAGUUUUGUACUAUCAACUGCAACAAGAUGUUCCGGGUAUCUACAUCCUCCCCUUCAUUACUACUCCGUACUAUAUAGUCCUAUCAAUGGGAAAAUGAAGUGCAGAAAAGUCUGCAACAAGAUAUACUCUGUUAUCUACCUUGUUAUUUCAGUAAUUGAAUUCACGGGCUAAUGAAGUCUGAUAAUUUUUCUUGCGUGGACAUCAAAUCUUCACUUCGAUUUUGACUACAGGACUGACGACUUAAAGACCAUAACCCAAAUUUAGGUUCGGUUUUGCUUUCUCAGUUCAAUAGAGUGGCCCAAAGAACUGAUUUUGAAAUUUACACUACAACCUGAGCUCUAAGAGUGUUUGCAGGUCAUUGUUCAGACUGCAACAGUUUCGACAUCAUUAUCUGCAAUUAGAUUUGAUUUGGUGUGUCGCGGGGAAGAGGAGGCAGCGGCGCCGGUACGUAGCAGACUGGACUGAAGGCGGAGCAUCAGAGUACUCUGAUCUACCAGAGUGUCCGAUUGAUGCUGCCCACUGCUCUUGAUAUAUCAAGUAAACAGUUCGCUCGGAGUGAUUUAAAUUUAGUCUUCACGAACGGCGGCCCGGCCGUCCUCCCCAGGGCGGCUCGGGCGGCGACCCCUCCCCCGGCCGAAACCCCCCUCCCGCUACUCCCUCCCGCCGCCGCCAAAAGCUCCUGCCGGGCAAAGCCCGCUCAGAUCUGGCGGCGGCGGGGCGUCAUUCUUUGCGCAGAGCGCCCCACGAGCCGGGGAGCUCUGUGUGGCGCGGGCGGCGCGGCGUGACUCCGACGCGCGUCACUUCUUCGAGCGCGGUGGCCGGGGACGGUGGGGGUGGGUGCGCUUGCGGCUCCCUCCCGCUGGCCUCCCUCGAACCGGCGACUCCCCGCUGCGUUGGCGCCCGGUGCUUCGGGGGCGUCGGGGAUCUGCUGGUUUUGGUUGGGGGUCCGGCGGAGGUGCUCUGUGAGGCGCGGGGUGGUGGUGCUCGCCCCUUGCCUGGGCGACGUGCCUGCCGGCCGCGGAUUUGGCUCCGAUCCGAUUGGGGGCGGGCGGGGCAUGUUGGAUCCUGCCGGAUCUGGCCUGCGGUGGACCGGAUCCGGUCAUGUGUGGCGGCGGGGCUGCAGUGGCCCUUCUCUGUGGCAAUGUGCAGGGGGCAGUGCUCCACGACCUGUCAAUGCUUCUAGGAGGUGGUAUUCUCACUUGGGCGAAAGCUCUGCUCCUGCCGGAGCCGGCGACGGCGACGCCUGCGGGCGCCGUGUACCUCUGUGGAGGCGGCGCUGUCAUGGUGAGUGCUCCUCCGAAAACCUGGGGAAACCCAUGUUUCAGGUUCUCCUGGAACAGGUGAUGGCGGCGCAUUUUGUGUCGCAUCCCUUCUUGAAGGCAUCAUCUAGGUUCGGCUUGGUUCGUCUAUGUGGGGGCUGCUCGCUGUGGGUUCGAUGGUGGUGGUGGUGCGGCCAAUUUGGGGUCGACGGUGGUGUGUGCCUUGUUGGUGAGAAGGUGGUGCUCUGUCUGCGAGAUCGUGGCUCAGCCAUGCGCCGGAUUGGGUUUGAUUUUCAUCCGAAGCCGGGUUAGCAGGGUCGUUAUCCUACUCAAUGGAUCUCCUCGUUCCCAUAUGGCACCUCUACCUCUGCGGGGUGCUGUUGGGUGGCAACCAGCCGGCCAACGUUCAAGGCUCUUCUCCUUGCUUGGUCGGAUGAAGGUGUAAGUUGAGGUCCUCCUCCUUGCUGGUUGUGCUGAUGAUAUUUGGAAUGGCGGUCGGUGGUGUUGGUGCGUCCGGCUUCGGAUCUUCGAAAGGCCUUCUUCUGUGCCCUUUCCUCGGCGGGUCUUCCGGAGGUUCGGCUGGAUGUGUGCGUGCGUGUGUGUGUGUGUGUGUUUUUUGGUUGUGUCUCCUCUUGUUUCCCCCGUGUAUUCUGGUUCACUUGAACCUAUCUUGUAUGGAGCUGCGAGGCUUCUAGGCAAAUUCGAUGGAAUAUAUUCAGGUGGUUG